UGCGUAGGCGGUUCUGUGUGUCGGGUGUGAAAUCCCACGGAUUAUCCGUGGAACGGCAUUCGAAACUACAGGGCUAGAGUGCGGGAGAGGAAGGUAGAAUUCUCGGUGUAGCGGUGAAAUGCGUUGAUAUCGAGAGGAAUGCCGGUGGUGAAGACGACCUUCUGGAACGCAACUGACGCUGAGGCACGAAAGCUAGGGGAGCAAACAGGAUUAGAUACCCUGGUAGUCCUAGCCGUAAACGGUGUGCACUUGAUGUAGGAGGAAUUAUCCCCUUCUGUGUCGUAGCUAACGCGAUAAGUGCACCGCCUGGGGAGUACGGUCGCAAGAUUAAA
rnacentral:rRNA from 1 species